AUUGAACGCUGGCGGCAUGCUUUACACAUGCAAGUCGAACGGUAACAGGCCUUCGGGUGCUGACGAGUGGCGAACGGGUGAGUAAUGCAUCGGAACGUGCCCAAUCGUGGGGGAGUAACGUAGCGAAAGUUACGCUAAUACCGCAUAAGCCCUGAGGGGGAAAGCAGGGGAUCGCAAGACCUUGCGCGAAUGGAGCGGCCGAUGUCAGAUUAGCUAGUUGGUGGGGUAAAGGCCUACCAAGGCGACGAUCUGUAGCGGGUCUGAGAGGAUGAUCCGCCACACUGGGACUGAGACACGGCCCAGACUCCUACGGGAGGCAGCAGUGGGGAAUUUUGACAANGGCGCAAGACCUGAU
rnacentral:rRNA from 1 species